rnacentral:rRNA from 1 species
UACGUAGGGUGCGAGCGUUGUCCGGAAUUAUUGGGCGUAAAGAGCUUGUAGGCGGUUUGUCGCGUCUGCCGUGAAAAUCCGGGGCUCAACCCCGGACUUGCGGUGGGUACGGGCAGACUAGAGUGUGGUAGGGGAGACUGGAAUUCCUGGUGUAGCGGUGGAAUGCGCAGAUAUCAGGAGGAACACCGAUGGCGAAGGCAGGUCUCUGGGCCACUACUGACGCUGAGAAGCGAAAGCAUGGGGAGCGAACAGG